GAAUGCUGACAUAAGUAACGAUAAAGCGGGUGAAAAGCCCGCUCGCCGGAAGACCAAGGGUUCCUGUCCAACGUUAAUCGGGGCAGGGUGAGUCGACCCCUAAGGCGAGGCCGAAAGGCGUAGUCGAUGGGAAACAGGUUAAUAUUCCUGUACUUGGUGUUACUGCGAAGGGGGGACGGAGAAGGCUAUGUUGGCCGGGCGACGGUUGUCCCGGUUUAAGCGUGUAGGCUGGUUUUCCAGGCAAAUCCGGAAAAUCAAGGCUGAGGCGUGAUGACGAGGCACUACGGUGCUGAAGCGACAAAUGCCCUGCUUCCAGGAAAAGCCUCUAAGCAUCAGGUAACAUUAAAUCGUACCCCAAACCGACACAGGUGGUCAGGUAGAGAAUACCAAGGCGCUUGAGAGAACUCGGGUGAAGGAACUAGGCAAAAUGGUGCCGUAACUUCGGGAGAAGGCACGCUGAUAUGUAGGUGAAGCGACUUGCUCGUGGAGCUGAAAUCAGUCGAAGAUACCAGCUGGCUGCAACUGUUUAUUAAAAACACAGCACUGUGCAAACACGAAAGUGGACGUAUACGGUGUGACGCCUGCCCGGUGCCGGAAGGUUAAUUGAUGGAGUUAGCGGCAACGCGAAGCUCUUGAUCGAAGCCCCGGUAAACGGCGGCCGUAACUAUAACGGUCCUAAGGUAGCGAAAUUCCUUGUCGGGUAAGUUCCGACCUGCACGAAUGGCGUAAUGAUGGCCAGGCUGUCUCCACCCGAGACUCAGUGAAAUUGAACUCGCUGUGAAGAUGCAGUGUACCCGCGGCAAGACGGAAAGACCCCGUGAACCUUUACUAUAGCUUGACACUGAACAUUGAGCCUUGAUGUGUAGGAUAGGUGGGAGGCUUUGAAGUGUGGACGCCAGUCUGCAUGGAGCCGACCUUGAAAUACCACCCUUUAAUGUUUGAUGUUCUAACGUGGGCCCGUAAUCCGGGUUGCGGACAGUGUCUGGUGGGUAGUUUGACUGGGGCGGUCUCCUCCUAAAGAGUAACGGAGGAGCACGAAGGUUGGCUAAUCCUGGUCGGACAUCAGGAGGUUAGUGCAAUGGCAUAAGCCAGCUUGACUGCGAGCGUGACGGCGCGAGCAGGUGCGAAAGCAGGUCAUAGUGAUCCGGUGGUUCUGAAUGGAAGGGCCAUCGCUCAACGGAUAAAAGGUACUCCGGGGAUAACAGGCUGAUACCGCCCAAGAGUUCAUAUCGACGGCGGUGUUUGGCACCUCGAUGUCGGCUCAUCACAUCCUGGGGCUGAAGUAGGUCCCAAGGGUAUGGCUGUUCGCCAUUUAAAGUGGUACGCGAGCUGGGUUUAGAACGUCGUGAGACAGUUCGGUCCCUAUCUGCCGUGGGCGCUGGAGAACUGAGGGGGGCUGCUCCUAGUACGAGAGGACCGGAGUGGACGCAUCACUGGUGUUCGGGUUGUCAUGCCAAUGGCACUGCCCGGUAGCUAAAUGCGGAAGAGAUAAGUGCUGAAAGCAUCUAAGCACGAAACUUGCCCCGAGAUGA
rnacentral:rRNA from 1 species